GUGACUUUGUUCUCAAUUAGACCAGAUGUCAAUGUAUGGCUGGACAACACUGAGCUGACAGCCAUAGGAAGUCAAGGCAAAUUUGUGUCUUUGUCGGUAACGCCAUUCGAUGUACAUGAAUUACGCACCGAAUAUGAAGGAAUCGCACAAGUGUGGAACUUCUCGAUUGUUUCGGAUUCCAUAAAUGUGAGUGGCACACAGAGAACGGCGCAUCUUCCCUCCAGCGGAACUGCGGAAGCGCUCAAGACUUUCCGGACAGAGGAAGUGUUUCCCUGUGAAAACGGCAC